UACGAAGGGUGCAAGCGUUACUCGGAAUUACUGGGCGUAAAGCGUGCGCAGGCGGUUCGUUAAGUUCGAUGUGAAAGCCCCGGGCUCAACCUGGGAACUGCAUUGGAAACUGGCGAGCUUGAGUGUGGCAGAGGGGGGUGGAAUUCCGCGUGUAGCAGUGAAAUGCGUAGAGAUGCGGAGGAACACCGAUGGCGAAGGCAGCCCCCUGGGCCAACACUGACGCUCAGGCACGAAAGCGUGGGGAGCAAACAGG
rnacentral:rRNA from 1 species